UUUUUUUUUUUUUUUUUUUUUUUUUUUUUUUUUUUA
rnacentral:ribozyme from 1 species